rnacentral:rRNA from 1 species
GUCUACAGCCAUGCCACCCUGAAAGAGCCUGAUCUCAUCUAAUCUUGGAAGCUAAGCAGGGUCGGGCCUGGUUAGUACUCGAAUGGGAGACCACCUAGGAAGACCAGGUGCUGUAGGCC